ACACUGUGGGUGAGGUCAGAUCUUGGCAGAGUAUCCGGAUGCCUCGCAAAGCCAGCUUCCCCAGCUGGGUCUGGAAUGGGGUCCACAGUGCCCCUCCAAAUAUGGUAGUUUUACUGGUUUUACCCAAUCUUGGCAACCUCCAGAGCCCGUGCAGCCAAAUCUGUGGCUUUGAAUAUGAGAAUCACCUCAACCAGCAUUCUUUCUAAGGCAACGUGUGAAGAGGGUAGAUGUUGUCAGACCUGAAUUGCAUUGUGGGACACCCAGCUGGUCACAGAAGAUUGAUGAAUGUGAAGAAUCUACAUCUGGCCACAAAAGAAUCCCGUGUUGGGAAGCCCAGGGAACAGAAACAGGCAUGGGGUCUCUUGCCUCUCAAGACACUAGGCUGGUGCUCUCUAGAGACCUGUGCGGGAGCAACAUCUGUCCGGAGACCUUGAAGCCGCAUUCCAUCAAAGAUUCUCUAAAACAGUAAGUCCAAUACAGGAGCCACCAGCUGGCAAUCACUUGACACAUGGCCACUGGAUGUGCUAAAUGUAAAAAGUGCACAUGCUUUGAAGGACAUGUGGAAUGAAACAUUCAAAGCAGCUCCGUAAUAAUUGUUUUUAACAUCGAUUAUGCUAAACUGGUAAUAUUCUUCUUUUACUAGUUAAAUAUAUUGUUUACAUUAUUCUUAUUGUAAAAUACAUAUGGUGUAAGCUUA
rnacentral:lncRNA from 1 species